CCGCCUCCCCGUGCUUCCCCGCCGUCUCCACUCUGACACGAUCCGCCCCCGUCCCGGACCCCCUCCGCUGCAGGGAAAUGCAGGAGAACGCGAAAGCAUCGGGGCAGAGCAGCCGCUGGAGGUGCCCGAGCCGUCUCCCCCUUGCCCGCAGGGCCGGAGUUGCCCACCGCCGGCAGCUGACAGGUCCGUGCUGGAGAGUGGGAGAAGGGUCCCUGCUGGCUGCCGUGUCCUGGGUGGGCACAGAGCUCUGACCUUGGCCAGAUGGGCUGCCGGCUGCAGUUCGGUUUCUUUCUCACAGGUUUCCG